AACGAACGCUGGCGGCAUGCCUAACACAUGCAAGUCGAACGAACCCUUCGGGGUUAGUGGCGCACGGGUGCGUAACGCGUGGGAAUCUGCCCUUUGCUUCGGAAUAACAGUUAGAAAUGACUGCUAAUACCGGAUGAUGUCUUCGGACCAAAGAUUUAUCGGCAAAGGAUGAGCCCGCGUAGGAUUAGGUAGUUGGUGGGGUAAAGGCCUACCAAGCCGACGAUCCUUAGCUGGUCUGAGAGGAUGAUCAGCCACACUGGGACUGAGACACGGCCCAGACUCCUACGGGAGGCAGCAGUGGGGAAUAUUGGACAAUGGGCGCAAGCCCUGAUCCAGCAAAUGCCGCGUGAGUGAAUGAAGGCCUUCGGGUUCGUAAAAGC
rnacentral:rRNA from 1 species